ACAUUAACUCUGUUUUGCUUCUGACACCCAUGCUACUUCUAUACCUCCAUGCUACCUUUGAAAUCUAUGCCAUAGUUCCCUGCGUUCCAAACCGCCAGCGAGACGUGGCCGGCAGUCCGACAGCGAGGCAGGGCACACCGGAGCCCGCUCCAAGAUGGCGGCGAGGAGGCGUGGACGGCGAGCGAGCAGCGAGGCGGGGAGCGCCGGGUUCGACGCCGCGAACCUCAGGUGCGGGAAUCGCCCGUCUGGGCACAAUUACGUAAUCCCCUCUCAAUGUGUAAAAGGGCGGCAGCCGAGAACAACGGGGCAGAAGGAGUUGGAGAGCGAACAGCAACACAUGCAGCGCAGAAGAGAGCGAGAGGCAGAUGCAGACGACGCGGAAGGUUGAAAAGCGUCAGAGCUGAAAAGCGACCCGACAGGACUGAAGGUUUAUUGACAAAUAAACAAAGUCAAAACUC